GACGAACGCUGGCGGCGUGCUUAACACAUGCAAGUCGAGCGGUAAGGCCCUUUCGGGGGUACGACGAGCGGCGAACGGGUGAGUAACACGUGGGUGACCUGCCCUCAGCUCUGGGAUAAGCCUGGGAAACUGGGUCUAAUACUGGAUAUGACUCCACGGUGCAUGUCGUGGGGUGGAAAGCCUUGUGCGGCUGAGGAUAGGCCCGCGGCCUAUCGGCUUGUUGGUGGGGUGAUGGCCUACCAAGGCGACGACGGGUAGCCGGCCUGAGAGGGCGACCGGCCACACUGGGACUGAGACACGGCCCAGACUCCUACGGGAGGCAGCAGUGGGGAAUCUUGCGCAAUGGGCGAAAGCCUGACGCAGCGACGCCGCGUGAGGGAUGACGGCCU
rnacentral:rRNA from 1 species